rnacentral:lncRNA from 1 species
GGUUAUUUGCCCUGAUUUCUUACCAUAAAUAUGUUUUCCUUUUAGGAAAAUGUUUUAAUAUUUUAACUAGUCCUUUUCUUGUAGGAAAGGUUUAGGACUCUAUAAAUAUAGGCUUGUUCCUUCUAACUUAAUUAGCAUUCACAAUGUAGUCUUAAGGGCUUUGAGAGUUUUGGUUAGGGGGAGAAUUUGUGGGUCACAAGCUUGAUACGUUAUCACUUGUGUGAACCUCCCAUGUAUUCCGAGUGAAUUGGUUGAGGUUGUUUCUCUCUAUAUUUU